AUGCGCUGCCGGGGGUCCCGAUGCCGCGCGGCAGGGCCAGAGGCCAGCGUGGCACCGCCGGGCGUCCGGAGCCCAGCCGCCGCGGGACAUGCCGAUCGGAGGGGCCCGGGCCCAGCCGCCUCCACCCCCGCGCCAGGGCCGGCGACUAGCGGGGACUCGCCAGCCCGACUCCAAAGGCGCCAUGAGGGAAGCAGCAGCAGGGGCCGAGGCGAGCCCGCACCGAGGCGUCCUCCGCAGGGGGUGGGACUGCCCUCGGGAUGGGGGAGGGGACCGCCAUCCCGCCAUCACACGCAGGCAGGGUUUCGGUUUAAAAGCCGCCAUCCGCUCUUCCCUGCCCUCUCCUGCUGCCAGCGGCGCCCGCGGCCCGCGCGUCGCGCACUCACCCGUCCCCGGGCCCGCCCGGCCAGCCAGGCGCAGCUCCGAGGCGGCGGCCGCGGCGCCGGAGCGCGAGCGGAGGGACCGCGCGGCCCUGCCUGCGGGCACACGGCGGCGAGCGGCGCCGCUGCGGCCCUCGCGCUCCCGGGCGCUCCGCCGGGCCGGCCCCGCUCCCUCCCGCGCGCCCCACGCCCUGCCCGCCAGGCCCCAGGCCCCGGCUCGGCGGCUGCACUCACCGGCCCGCUCCGCGCCUGCGCCGCGCACCUCAGGGGCCCGCCGACAGGGCGGGGAGGUGACGAGGUAAGAGUGGGGGCAGGGGAACGGGCGGCGCGGCCUCGCCGCACGGGCGGCCUGGGAGGGACCACCGGCCUCCAGCCCCGGGGGUGGCCCGGCGGCCCGCGCCCCCUGCCGGCAUCUCUGCGCCGCCGCAGGCCCCUCCCGAGCCGACGGGCGAUUCCACCGGCCUCCAGGCGAGGCCGCCCGGGGCACUCCCCACGCCCCCUCCCAGCCCGGGCUCCCGCCCCCGGAGAACCGGGAGAAGCGCACCGCGCCCGCAGCCUUGUGCCCAGCCUGCUCCUCCCGGGCACGUGCGAGAAUGGUCUUGCUCGGGUUAGGCAAGGCAUAUGGCAUUUCAAACCCCAGAGUGGCCACAGGCUCCUGGCGACGAAAAGGGCAGCGACCAGGUCCUGGUGUUACUGA
rnacentral:lncRNA from 1 species